rnacentral:lncRNA from 1 species
UUUUCUUCUUCUUCUCCAAACCACCCAAACCCUAAACCACACCCUUCAAUCACUGCUCCUCCACACCAGCAGUCCACCCCCAUCAAAAAACGACCCCUGGAACCAGUAGCAGCGGACAGCUGAGCCGUUGCUGCUGCGUCGUCAUCUUUAUCCCGUUUCUAGCCCAUGUCGUUGAAACCAACCAUAAUUACCAUAACCUCCCAAGCAGCCCAGCUCACGGCCAUCCAUCUCCUUCGGGAACUAGUCCAAGCGACCACCUCAAAACCCACCAGCCCUCACGUCCCAAAUGAACCAACGCCAACAUCCCCCUCAACGGUGGAAAAACAGAAUGAGAGACCACAUCAAGUCGCGUUCAAGCAGUUCGUUGCCCCCUUCCAGCUCCAUCUACCUCAUUGUGACAACCUAGACGAACUGCAGCCGUGAAACCUACUCCAAAUGCCAGCUCCACUGGCACGCCGUCAACCAGCCCUAUCAGGAACAACCGAGUAACAUUUUUCUUCUAUAAUUUCUCGAUGGCUAAGGAAAGCAGCGAUGUGUAUACGAGUGAUGGUGCCGUUUACAGUAGUAACGUAUUGGGACGUGCUUUUGGUUUCUUAAUUCGCGAUCUUGUUCGAGGUCAGCUAACUUGGUACUGUCCAUUGGUUUUCCGGUUCAAAACCUUGUUUCCGGUUUGAAGUUUUAAUUUGUUCAAAGGUCCGCUUCUGCUUCGCUCAUUUCCCCAAUCAUCAAUCUACAUAGUUCAUGUGCACGUUUUCUUUGUUUUUAUAAUUUUAAUGAAUAUGCAAAUAUCCUAUUAAGUGUUCUCUGUGCUCAAUCUUAAAAUUGAAGUCGCUUGAGAAUAGGGGAUUCUCAUAAUCUGUUACUUUAGAAUCUGUUAGUAUAGAUUAAUUUAGUGAUAGUUAUGGUUUAUUUAAUUAAUUUAGUUGGGAUUGAAUCAAUUGGAUUGGUUUCCAUUCAUGACUCUGUAUGUUGUUUAGUCAUAACAAAAUUUCAAUAUGUUUAAAAUAGAUAUAAGUUCCUAAGAAAAGAAAGCAGAUUGCUUUUAGGUCGUAGGAUGGAAUUGCAGGACUGUGAUACUGGGAUUUAUAUUUUCCAUUAUUCCGCAUAUUUGAAAACAUAUUUCACAAAGCCAAGGGAGUAUUUUUUGGUUCAUAAAUUGCUUAGCUUAUGUCCUAUACGUGUAGAUUGAUUUUACUGUUAUAAAAAGUUAUUGUUGGCAUGUGGAAGAUUUGAAUCUUUUGUGACUUGGUGUCUUGGUAUAAGAUAUUAGCCAAAUGAAUAGUUUAUGACCCUUGUAACCUUAAUUAAGAAUUAUUUAAUUGGAGUGCUUUGUCCACUAGAUUAAAGUAUUAUUAAAAUAAUAUAGUGAAGGACAAGACAUGUGGGUAGCAUAAUGAUGCAAAGUAAAAAGAGGGUAGACAGUGGGGUCCACGUUUGACUGCUUUUGCUGAUUGGGAAUUAGAAAUAGAAGGUAAUAAUAAAAGGGGAGGAAUAAUAAUAAAAGGGUAGGAGAAAAGGUUCUUGCUUUUGGAUAUAAUUAGAAGUCAUUUUGUCACUUAAGUGAGGAGAAAAUUUAGAGAGAAAAAAUAUUUUCAGUACUAGAGGGAAAUAAAAAAAUUCAGAUUCAGUCUUUGAGAAUUAAAAACUGAAAGUGAAGUCUUUAUUUUCUGCUAAAAGUCAGAACACUAUUACUACUUCUGUGGUUUGCAUUUGGCACUGCUGAUUUUCGGAUUGAAUUCUUGGGUUCCUGCUUGGGUUUCUGAUAUAGGUGUUGCUGUAGGAUUAUUUUUGAAUCAGUUUAUUGGAUGUGGAAUCAUCUCUGUUGGUUUUAAAAUUUGUUCCUGGGUGUUCAAUUUGCUACUGCUGUUGAUGUUUGUUAUUGUUCUUUGCUACUGCUGAUCCUUUUCUUUUCCUGUCUUAUUUCUCUAAUCCAGGUAUUCACUUGAGUUAAAUACUGGUGUACCCGUGCAGUUGAGCAUGAGUUGAAAUGUGAAGACUUUUUAUUAUGAAAUAUUGUACCUCUAGUUUAAUAGAUAAAAUNNNNNNNNNNNNNNNNNNNNNNNNNNNNNNNNNNNNNNNNNNNNNNNNNNNNNNNNNNNNNNNNNNNNNNNNNNNNNNNNNNNNNNNNNNNNNNNNNNNNNNNNNNNNNNNNNNNNNNNNNNNNNNNNNNNNNNNNNNNNNNNNNNNNNNNNNNNNNNNNNNNNNNNNUGUAGUUGUUUAGUUAUAUAUUUAAUAUAGUUAUGUGAUUUGUAGGAAUGAACAUGUAGUUAGUAGAUCGAUAACUAGAUUUCAUCCUUAGUCGUCUUUACAUAUAUAAGGUAAUUCGGAAUCACCUUCAAUUCAAAUUGGUAUAUAGCAAAUAUGGAGAAUCGAUUUAACUUAAUUGGUUGGUAUGAUCUGGCUCUGAAAUUGUGAAUAUUGGAAUAAGAAGUAAUUUGAAAUUGGUGAUUUUUGAAUCUUGUUACUAACAAAGAUCCGCAAGUAUUAGGAAAAUGUAGUUGGGUAUUAAUUUAUUAGAAUCAAGAUGUAGCAAGGGAUAAAGUUAAUUUAAUACGCAUGAUUUGAGUUCAAGCAACAUGGUUUGAUGUUUAGAUUUAAUAAACUUUCGAAUAAGCAUUAAUUAUUAAGGUUGAUUUUAGUUUUAAAUAGUUGUAAAUAAUUGACGGUUUAUUCAUAUAAAUAUGCGGGUUUUAAUCUAAUUAUCAUUGAUUUCUUUUGAAUAUUAGUUGUCGAAUUUCGUAUUUUAUUAUAAAUUUAAAUUUUUUUAUUUUAUUCAUAAUUUCAAAUUCUUUUUUUUAGUAAAAUUCUUUUCCUUUAAUGUUUGACUUAAUUUGGCAAUUAGUGUGUUCCCUUUUUUUUUUGUUAAGCAUGUAAUUAAUUAGGAUUUUUCUUUUUUAAUUUUGAGACGAACUUAAUAGAAAAAAUGUAGUCACUUUAGGAUUUCCCUUUUAAAAUAAAUGAGGCGAGCCUCUCCAAAUAAAUAAAUUGCGGGGCCCUCAGUAAAUAUUUAAGAAUAUCUAGAAAAAUUGGGAAGGGUAGUUUAGCGAAUUUCACGACCCUCCCGAAAGAUUACAACUCGCUAGACUCACUUUGCCUUAAUUAAUCUUACCUCCCUAAUCUCGGGUGUGCAUUUAUGCGACCCAAAUCCAAAUCUCGACAGAGUUAAAAUGUGUCGACGACCACGGAUACACUGGCUGUGACGUAGUCCGAGAUAUGUUUUCACAAUAUUGUAAUUCUCUGUAAAUAAUAACAAUAAUAAUUUGAAUAAAAGCGGUAAAAAGUAAAAUUGGCACAUAGGUUCUUCAUGUAAUAAAAUGGGAUAAAUAAGCUAAAUAUGACAAUUGUGCGACCGUGCUAGAACCACGUAACUCGGGAAUGCCUACCACCCUCUCCCGGGUAAACAGAAUUCCAUAUCCAGAUUUCUGGUGCGCGGACUGUAUAGCAGAGUCAUUCUUUUCCUCGAUUUGGGAUUUAACUGGUGACUUGGGACACCACAAAUUUCCCAAGUGGCGACUCUGAAUCUUUAAUACAUAAUCCCGUUUCGAUUUUUCUUUAAUUGGAAAACCUCCCUUGCGCCUUCGGGCGUCGUAAAAAGGAGGUGUGAUAGCUCUGGAGACUCUUCUGGGGAUAUAUAACCCAGAACCACUGGUUCAGGGUUAGAAGUUCGAGCUUAAAUAAAUUGUUAUGUUUGGCUUCAUCUGAUUUUGUUAUAUUAUUUGUUCUUACUUUGCUAGUUGCAUUUUUACCACUUUGAUAUUGUUGAACUGUAUUAUAAAUUAUCUACUUGCGCACCCCCUCUAAGUCUUCUGAAUAAAACCUCGGGAAUCGCGGAUACAUGCCCCAUUUUUUGUUGACAUAAAGCCCGUGGGCCUGGGCUCCCGGUGAAGGAUUAUCAGUCACCUAUAUUUAAGAAUGGGGAGGGUCCAGUAGCUAAAGCGGAAAAAGCAUUGCUCCCGGUACGCUACCCCUUCCCAACUCGAGUUGUCCGCUCGUUUUAUGUCCAGUCUAGAUACUCCUCACACCCAAGGCAUUAAACCUAGUACGACAAGACUUCAUGCCGGAUCCCUAGUAGGAACGUUUAUUGGCAUCAUGUGCGUUUGACUUAGGAGACUCAACAUAGGGGUUGGGUCCGUCUAGGACAAGCGACCUAAAGUGCAAAGACCAUCCCAUUGCAUCUUGUUUGUUUCAUGCAUUUAUUUGCUUCAGACUGGCAUGUUGACCGGCUUUGAAUACUAGAAAAUCGUGAAAAUAAAAAAGAAAAAAAACUAGCAGUAUAGAGUGUUAAUUACAUGUUUUUAGAAAAUCAAUUUCCAAAUGCUGUCAAAACUCUGCCGGAAUUUUGAGAAAAUAAAAAAAAUGUUAUAUUAGUUUUACUAAAAAGCAAAGGAAAAAUAGAAAGAAAAAAAGAGUCUUUAUUUUUAGUUUAGGAAAAAUAGGUUGUUUUAGUUUUGUUGAAAAUGAAAAAAAAAGUCUUUGUUUUUAGUUUGGAAAAAAUAGGUUGUUUUAGUUUAUGUUGAAAAUGAAAAAAAAAAGAGUCAUUAUUUUGUCUUGUUUUCAAAAAAUAGAUCUUUUUUAGUUUGGGAAAAAUAGGUUGUUUUAGUUUUUGUUGAAAAUGAAAAAAAAGAGUCAUUGUUUUGUCUUGUUUUCAAAAAAUAGAAAAGGAAAAUAGCUUGUCUUGCCAUGAAAAAUGAAAAUAAAAAAAAAGUCUUGUUUUUCUAAAAUAGUUAUUUUAUUUUACCUAUUUAUGAAAUGCCAAAAUUAAAAAUAAAUAAAAGAGACUUGUUUUUAAAAAUAGUUAUUUUAUUUGUUUAUAAAAUGCCAAAGAUAAAAAUGAAAAAGAGUCGUGCUUUUGAAAGUAGUUUUGUUAUUUGCUUAUGAAGUAUAAAGAAUCAUGUUAUAAAGUAGUUCAGUUAAUUUGCCCGAACUACGCCGGUUUGAUUCUCACCGGAUGUGAGAUACGUAGGCAACCCUCAUCGGGUCCAACCUCCCCUUUGCAAAAAAUAGCAGCUGUCAAAAUUUUUAUUUUUCAUCAUAAAGAAGUCGGGUGAUGCAGUCUUGUGUCAAGCAUAGCCGAAUGUUCCCGAAAGGGACGCCAGAAGGCUGACUUUGUAUAAACAGCCACCUCUGGGUCAUUUUUUAGAUUUGGUCCAUUUGACCCACACAGCCUUAGUAUCUUCGUCCCCGAGGCGCUGAAAGACCGUGUUUGCAAAUAUCUGGUUUUCUAUUUUCGAAAAAAAAACAAGAAAAGAGUCAUAAAUUAGUCGGUGAUGCUGUCUUUGUCAUAAAUAGCCGAAUGUUCCCGAAAGGGACGCCGGAAGGCGGACUUUGCAUUAACAGCCACAUUUAAUCAUUAUUUUGGAAUUUUGGACAAUUAGCUAACACAACCUUAAAAUCUUCGCCCCCCGAGGUGCUGAAAGGCCAUGUUUGCAAUACUAGGUUUUUUAUUUAAAAAAGAAGAAGGAAUCAUAAAUUAGCCAUGAUGAUGCAUGCGGUUGGAGCGAAAACAUGUUAGAAAUGGCUAACUGCCUAAGAGCAUUGCAUUCCCCAACGUGCAAUUGCAAUAUCUGUUAAAACUCUAACGCUGACAAGUCUGUUAUUUUUCCAAAUUCUAUCAGUUAGUUAGAGCGUACUGCCACCAAACCAUUAUCAGACAAGAUCUAAAGGGCAUAUACCCAAGAGCAUGACCAAUUCUGAGAACAGUGUUGAGGAAGAGAGGCCCAAGGCACAUUUGCUAAAAGAAGCCUUGGAAAAGAUAGAGAAAAUGGGGUUGGAGAUUAAAUCAAUGCACUUGGCCUUGGCUAGAGUGCAAAAGGGGACUGAAUCACCCAUUACUCCUACUACUCCACCUGGGCACACGCCAGAAUACCCUCACCCUGGCCCGUCAACAAACUUCCCGAGUCAGCACUACUUCCAGGGAAGAAACCCUUAUGACUCCCAAGAUCCACCACCCAACUAGAAUCAGCCACCUCCAAAAUAUGCCCUUUUUCACGGGACCCCCACUAGCCACACUGCAAAGAUCUACUAGUGGGUCGUUGUUUCAGGCUCACGGGGCACAAUAUUGUCCUCAGAACCUGCAUUUAAUACAUCUGAACCCCAUACCCAAAAUCUCAAAAUAAAGGUCCCGGCAGAGAGUGAAAAGCCAUCCAGGAAUCAAAACGGGACGAGGUAAUGCGGAAAGUUAAAAGCCUAGAGCAAACCUUCAGGAACAUGCAUGGAUUAGGCAACCAAGUGAGCGUAGCCUACAAGGAUUUAUUCCCUUUUCCUGACGUCCAGUUGCCGUUAGGGUUCAAGAUGCCCAAGUUCUAUCAAUAUGAGGGCAUGGAGAUUCUAUGGCACAUUUACGGGGUUUCUGUAGAAAAAUGAUAGGAACGGGUGGCAAACAUGAGCUACUGAUAGCUUACUUUGGCUAGAGCUUAAGCGGAUCGGCACUGGAAUGGUAUACCAGACAGGAUCCUGGUAGGUGGUACACCUGGGACGAUCUAGCGCAGCCUUUCGCAGGUCACUUCCAAUACAAUCUCGAGAUAGUCCCUGACCGUGUCACAUUACUGAGGACUGGGAAGAAGCCCAAACAAAGCUUCCGUAAAUUCGGGUUCCGAUGGAGAGAACGGGCAUCCAAGGUUGAUCUUCCCAUGAGAGAGGGGGAAAUGGUGGACUACUUCCUGCAAACACUGGAUCCAACUUAUUUUGGUCACUUGGUGACGACGGUUGGAAAAUCCUUCAAUGAAGUAAUAAAGAUAGGGGUUAUGAUAGAGAAGGGACUAAAGUCCUAUAAAACCCUAAAUUACGCAGCGCUUAGGGCAACAACUCAGGCUAUUCAAAGCGACACGGGAGGUGCGUUGGGGAAGAAAAGGAGAGAAGAAGUGGCCACGCUCGAAGCUAGCGAUUGGUCUAGAUUCUGCCAGCACUACUAUGACCAACCUAGUCCCCACCAGCAAAAUUAUCCACAUUCCCCAUAUAUCCCACCACAAUACCACUAUCCACCGCAAGAACCACACUUUUCCGUAUACCGAUCCCAAACCUAUACUCAACCCCCGGCUCGUCCACAAUGGCGCGCGUGCCUGUUCCCCAAAACACAUAUACACCUCCACAAAAUGCAUAAUCGCCUCCAUAAAACACCUAUCACCACCCAGGUCCAACAGGAACCCUCCAGGGGUAGGUUUCCGAGAAAAUCCGGCAUACAGAAACCUAUACCGCUUUAUUUCACAAGUUAAAGCGGUUGGGUUUGUUGAGUCCUGUAUAGAAUAGGUUGUCAAAUCCCCCACCCCCAAAUGUGGACCAAUCGCAAAGCUGCGAAUACUAUUCGAGAAAGUUGGGGCAUGAUACAGAAAAAUGUUGGAAGCUGAAGCGGGCGAUACAAGAUCUUAUCAACGCCAACAAAAUUGAGGUUCAGGCGCCAGAGGCACCUAACAUUAACCAGAACACAUUGCCCGCACAUCAUGAAACCCAUGCAGCUGUAUUAGAAGCUGGAGAGGGUUCUAGCAGGGCCGAUAUGCAGUUUGCGGGGCCUAGGGCCAACCUUAGCAACCAGAGAGCAACUCCUCUCCUUACCCGGAGGGAGUCUUGGUAGUAGGCCUUGAUUUAUCUUUCUCGUUUUCUAGAUUAUUCCAGGGUUUAAUCCAUAUUUUGUUUUUUAGCAAAAGGGGGAACCCUGUUAUCCAUUGUUUUAUAAAAAUAAAAGUUUUUUAUUCUUGUUUUGUUUAAUGUUGUUUCUUCUUCUUUUGCUUUCUGAAGGUUCUAUUUUACUAGACCUGAUGACAUGGCAUGCACGACGGAUAUUCGGCCCAUUCUAAAUAAUCAAUCUAAUUCCAAGCUAAUUAUACAAGAGUUCGAUUCUGAUGAUGAAUCGGAAUAUGACAAGGAUGAAGCCUUUGAAGAGGUAAGUAGGGAAUUGAGCCAAUACGAAGAAAAGCCUAAGCCCAAGUUAGAUGACACUAAGGCUGUCAAUCUGGGGAAUGCCGACAAUAUGAGGGAAACCAAAAUCAGCAUCCAUAUUGAAACGGAUUCUCCCACAUCAUGAAAUUUGAAGUAGGGCAGCAGGUAUUGAAACGGAUUCUUCCGCAUCAGGUCGAGGCAAAAGGGAAAGUCUUCCCCAAUCCGGCAAGGACCAUUUGUUAUUACCAGGUGUUAUCCAAUGGCGCUUUAUGCUUAACGGAUGUCUAAGGAAGAUGCAUUGACAUGGCUAUGAAUUCUGACGCAGUCAAGAGAUACUACGUGUAAAUUCCUUGAUUGUAUUUAUCAUUAUUUUGUUUGUUUGUACUUGGUGUUCAUCCAAUAACGAAAUGACGGAGGCAAUUUUUUCUUCUACCUAAACACUUUCCACCUUUGUUUCCCCUUUGAGUCGUAUUUGUUCUUUCAUACCCCUCUCUUGGAAUCGUUAAAGAAAACAAAAAAAUGUAAAGAAAAAGAGAAAAAUGAUAAGAAAAUCAUAAGAAAACAAAUAUUAGGAACUACGUUUGACCUGAUUCCUAGGGAAAGGAUACGUAGGCGCCUCACGAAUCGGUCAUAGUGUGACGCACGCGAGAAGAAAAAAAUUCCCAAGCACAAAACUGUGGUUUGCAUUUGGCACUGUUGAUUUUCAGAUUGAAUUCUUGGGUUUCUGAUAUUGGUGUUGCUGUUGGAUUAUUAUUUAAUCGAUUUAUUGGAUGUGGAAUCAUCUCUGUUGGUUUUAAAAUUUGUGCCUGGGUGUUCAAUAUGCUACUGUUCUUGAUAUUUGCUAUUGUUUCUUUGCUACUGCUGAUCCUUUUCUUUUCCUAUCUUAUUUCUCUAAUCCAGGUAUUCACUUGAGUUAAAUACUGGUGUA